AGCGGCGGACGGGUGAGUAACGCGUGGGUAACCUGCCCUGUACACACGGAUAACAUACCGAAAGGUAUGCUAAUACGGGAUAACAUAAGAAAGUCGCAUGGCUUUCUUAUCAAAGCUUUUGCGGUACAGGAUGGACCCGCGUCUGAUUAGCUAGUUGGUAAGGUAACGGCUUACCAAGGCGACGAUCAGUAGCCGACCUGAGAGGGUGAUCGGCCACAUUGGAACUGAGACACGGUCCAAACUCCUACGGGAGGCAGCAGUGGGGAAUAUUGCACAAUGGGCGAAAGCCUGAUGCAGCAACGCCGCGUGAGCGAUGAAGGCCUUCGGGUCGUAAAGCUCUGUCCUCAAGGAAGAUAAUGACGGUACUUGAGGAGGAAGCCCCGGCUAACUACGUGCCAGCAGCCGCGGUAAUACGUAGGGGGCUAGCGUUAUCCGGAAUUACUGGGCGUAAAGGGUGCGUAGGCGGUCUUUCAAGUCAGAAGUGAAAGGCUACGGCUCAACCGUAGUAAGCUUUUGAAACUGCAAGACUUGAGUGCAGGAGAGGAGAGUGGAAUUCCUAGUGUAGCGGUGAAAUGCGUAGAUAUUAGGAGGA
rnacentral:rRNA from 1 species